GUAGCAUAGGGUAUAUUAAAACAUCUGUUUAUUGUAGCGCUGUGAACCACAGAAUAUGCUUUGGAUGUGCAGACUUAAAAUGAUCCUGUGCAGGCUGGGCUUAACUCUAAAUGAAAUGCAACCAAAUUACUUCACUGUAAUUGUGGAUCUCAUCAGUGAGUUUUUAUAUAUCUCUGUGUACAUGAAUUAUUUGUUUUAUCGUUACAGUGAUGGCCAGUUGUGCAAAGGAAACUGUUAAAUCCCGAGUGAUCGUUUCUUUAUUUAUUGUGAUCAGCAAUUGAAAAAUAGAGCAAUUUCAGUUUUUAUUUUCAGAUGACAACUGCUACUUUUCUGUCAAGCUAAUACUAAAUAAAGCCAUGAAUUCUGACAACUAACACCUUCCCUCAUUAGAUGAAAAUUACUGUUGUGUAGUAUACAGAAAAAAUGCACAGUAAAUAACUGUUUUUUUGUGGUUUUUUUUUUGUUUUGUUUUUUUGACUGAUUGAUUUUAGUCAAUGAAAGUAUUCCAUCUUUCUGAGAUCAAGGAUGAAAUCAGUAUGACAGGGCAUUGGUGUGAAGAAGCACCACACUUUUACAGAUUGAAUGGAGUUUUAGGAACCUGGCUUUGAAAUUCACUGAGGUGAAAAUAGUUGGAUGCUGGGCAAGCAUGGCACUGGGGGGCAAGUAUAGUCAUUCCCUGUCAUACACUUUUGAAGGCAGAUCUUUUUCUAACUGUGGUCAGAAAUAGGUUACCAAGCUAGAUGAGAUCUUUAAUCAGGUUUGGUAGGAUAGUUCUCAAUUUCAAAUAUUUAACAGAAGAAUUAUGUAAAAUGGUUAUUUGGAGAGUCAUGCCUUCUUGAUUUUGCUCAGUUGCAAGGGCACUUCUCUUUUCCUUUUGUUUCUUUUGGACGUGCUGGACAGCAGUGUAUUGAAAGAAAUCAGUGUUGUUGCUGCAAUUCUGUAUUUUGUUUAUCUCAUUUCUUAAAGUAUGUCAAGACAUCUGGUUCAAUGGGAUGCUCUUAUUCUGAUGGGUGAUUCCUGUUAGAGGAAAUGCAAAUGAAAAGGGUCAGUAAGUGGCUUUUGUUCACUUCCUCAUUUGAGAUGUUAAUGUAUUGCUGAAAUUCUGCUGGUGACAUUCCUGGAGAUAGUAAUCAAACAGCUUUAUAAAGUGCAGGUGUAACACCACAAAGUAUCAUUUGAGAGAUUGAUCUGUAAACUGGUAAUGUGGUAAUGCCAUAUGGGAGUGACAGCUGAAGUGCAGUUUUUGCAUUUUUUUUCCUCUAGAACUGUGUGGCAUGGGAAACCAGGAGAUAUACAGAGAGAUCUGUGAAUUUGAUGACCUAUGAAUCUUGUCAAGAAAUAUUAAAGUUAAAUGUAUUCUGGUGUCUUCAUUUUUCUUCUCUUUGCUAUGCUAGAAAAUACAGAAGUGUGUGUGUGUUUUUUUUUCUUCCCCCUCAAUCUGAA
rnacentral:lncRNA from 1 species